GGGCCCGCACAAGCGGUGGAGUAUGUGGUUUAAUUCGAUGCAACGCGAAGAACCUUACCAGGGUUUGACAUCCUGCGAAUCUCUUGGAAAUGAGAGAGUGCCUUCGGGAGCGCAGUGACAGGUGGUGCAUGGCUGUCGUCAGCUCGUGUCGUGAGAUGUUGGGUUAAGUCCCGCAACGAGCGCAACCCACGUCUUUAGUUGCCAGCAUUUAGUUGGGUACUCUAGAGAGACCGCCGGUGAUAAACCGGAGGAAGGUGUGGAUGACGUCAAGUCAUCAUGCCCCUUACAUCCUGGGCUACACACGUACUACAAUGCUACGGACAAAGGGCAGCAAGUUCGCGAGGACAAGCAAAUCCCAUAAACCGUGGCUCAGUUCAGAUCGUAGGCUGCAACUCGCCUACGUGAAGGCGGAAUC
rnacentral:rRNA from 1 species